rnacentral:rRNA from 1 species
AACGAACGCUGGCGGCAGGCUUAACACAUGCAAGUCGAGCGCCCCGCAAGGGGAGCGGCAGACGGGUGAGUAACGCGUGGGAAUCUACCCAUCUCUACGGAAUAACGCAUGGAAACGUGUGCUAAUACCGUAUACGUCCUUCGGGAGAAAGAUUUAUCGGAGAUGGAUGAGCCCGCGUUGGAUUAGCUAGUUGGUAGGGUAAAGGCCUACGAAGGCGACGAUCCAUAGCUGGUCUGAGAGGAUGAUCAGCCACACUGGGACUGAGACACGGCCCAGACUCCUACGGGAGGCAGCAGUGGGGAAUAUUGGACAAUGGGCGCAUGCCUGAUCCAGCCAUGCCGCGUGAGUGAUGAAGGCCCUAGGGUUGUAAAGCUCUUUCACCGGUGAAGAUAAUGACGGUAACCGGAGAAGAAGCCCCGGCUAACUUCGUGCCAGCCGCCGCCGUAAAAC